ACAAACUUGGUCAUUUAGAGGAAGUAAAAGUCGUAACAAGGUUUCCGUAGGUGAACCUGCGGAAGGAUCAUUAAUGAAACAAAGUCGAUCGUCUGUGCUGGUGGAAACACAUGUGCACGUCGAUCGCAAAUCCAACACACCUGUGCACCCUUGACUUUGGGAUUCGCUUGCUGACUUUGUCUGGUGAGCAGCUGGUUGACUUGUCUGUCGACCGGAGUCUCAGGGUAUUUUUCACACAUGCUGAAUGUAAUGGAAUGUAACUGUGCAUAACGCGCAUUGUAACAACUUUCAACAACGGAUCUCUUGGCUCUCGCAUCGAUGAAGAACGCAGC
rnacentral:misc_RNA from 1 species